AUUGAACGCUGGCGGCAUGCUUUACACAUGCAAGUCGAACGGCAGCGCGGGCUUCGGCCUGGCGGCGAGUGGCGAACGGGUGAGUAAUGCAUCGGAACGUGCCCAGUUGUGGGGGAUAGCCCGGCGAAAGCCGGAUUAAUACCGCAUACGACCUGAGGGUGAAAGCGGGGGACCGAGAGGCCUCGCGCUAUUGGAGCGGCCGAUGUCGGAUUAGCUAGUUGGUGGGGUAAAGGCUUACCAAGGCGACGAUCCGUAGCUGGUCUGAGAGGACGACCAGCCACACUGGAACUGAGACACGGCCCAGACUCCUACGGGAGGCAGCAGUGGGGAAUUUUGGACAAUGGGGGCAACCCUGAUCCAGCCAUGCCGCGUGCGGGAAGAAGGCCUUCGGGUUGUAAACCGCUUUUGUUCGGGAAGAAAACCUCUGGGCUAAUACCCCGGGGGGAUGACGGUACCGGAAGAAUAAGCACCGGCUAACUACGUG
rnacentral:rRNA from 1 species